GCGACUGCAGCGACAGCCCCUCUGCCUGCAGGCGGCCUGGCUCAGCCUGGCCUCCAGCUCUCUGGCGUCCAGCUCUGCAGCAGACACAGUCGCCCUCCCCUCCCCCACUGCUCCCAGGCCUCUCACCUGUACACGUGAUGCCGACAGAUGUCUCUGUCAUCGAAAAGCCCAAAGGGCACACUCGGGCCACCUCCUGACAGCCACCAUGGUUACAGCGGGGUUGAAAAUGACAAGCUAGCGUCGGUCUCAAGUGCCCAGAGUCUGGCACAUGAUCUCAGUGUCAACCGCUGGCCGUGGCCUUACCUGGGCAGGUGGCCCCUUGUUCUCCAUCCUGGCAGGAACAAACAUUGGGAGCGAUGCAGACUCCACUCCCACAGCCAAAGGAGCAGAGAGCUGAGAGGAGAAAGGCAGCUAAGGAGCUGGGGACCAGGGCCCCAUCUGCCCCUCAGACCGGGGACUGCGCACUGGCAAUGCACCCUGCUCAUGUGCACUGAGAGGGCCCUGGGCACGUGACGGCCACUUACGCAAGGUGCAGUGCCCACUGCCCAUGGAGGGUGCCCAGCCAGGGCAGCAGCCACUCCCGAAGCCAGAGAGGCAGACGUGGGGGCCCAACCGGCGUCUGCAAGAGAGGAGAGAGCACUUCGCACAUUCUGUACAGGGGAGAGACUGGUCAACAGCAAAGCCUCCCAGCCAGUCUGCAAGAUCAGCAAACAGUUCUCCAGACCCCCGCACCCUCCGGGAAGAACAAUGGGAAGUUCUCAAAGAAAAACACAGUGUUUCUGAGAUGCAGGACAGACAAAAGUAUGAGAGAACAGAUACCAGCUUCCUAUGGAUGUCUGCCCUAGGAACACAAGGAGUGACCCGGAAAGAGGACUCUGAACUCAGGAUGCAGAGCCCCCAGGACGGCUGCCUCAGGAUCUUUGCACUUGCAGCUCCCUCUGUUGGGAAGUCUACCCUACCCUUGCUUUAUUUUUGGCCAUAAUACUUUCCAAAACAUUAUUUGCUAAUUUGAUGACUGCCCAUUGUCUGUCUCCCUGCAGCUCCCUGUGGGUGCAGUUGUUCACCCCAGCACCCACAGCCAUGCCUGGCACAUAAUACACAUUCAAUAAAUGGCUGUUGAGGGAAAA